GAUGAACGCUGGCGGCGUGCCUAACACAUGCAAGUCGAGCGAGAAGCUUAUGAAGGAUCCUUCGGGUGACUGAAUAAGUGGAAAGCGGCGGACGGGUGAGUAACGCGUGGGUAACCUGCCCCAUACAAAGGGAUAGCCACUGGAAACGGUGAUUAAUACCAUAUGAGAUCGUAGAGUCGCAUGACUUAGCGGUUAAAGAUUUAUCGGUAUGGGAUGGACCCGCGUCUGAUUAGCUAGUUGGUAAGGUAACGGCUUACCAAGGCGACGAUCAGUAGCCGACCUGAGAGGGUGAUCGGCCACACUGGAACUGAGACACGGUCCAGACUCCUACGGGAGGCAGCAGUGGGGAAUAUUGCACAAUGGGCGAAAGCCUGAUGCAGCAACGCCGCGUGAGCGAAGAAGGUCUUUCGGAUCGUAAAGCUCUGUCCUAUGGGAAGAACACAAUGACGGUACCAUAGGA
rnacentral:rRNA from 1 species